UUAAAUUGAAGAGUUUGAUCAUGGCUCAGAUUGAACGCUGGCGGCAGGCUUAACACAUGCAAGUCGAACGGUAACAUGAGUGCUUGCACUUGAUGACGAGUGGCGGACGGGUGAGUAAGGUAUGGGGAUCUGCCGAAUGGAGGGGGACAACAGUUGGAAACGACUGCUAAUACCGCAUAAAGUUGAGAGACCAAAGCGUGGGACCUACGGGCCAUGCGCCAUUUGAUGAACCCAUAUGGGAUUAGCUAGUUGGUGGGGUAAAGGCUCACCAAGGCGACGAUCUCUAGCUGGUCUGAGAGGAUGACCAGCCACACUGGAACUGAGACACGGUCCAGACUCCUACGGGAGGCAGCAGUGGGGAAUAUUGCACAAUGGGGGGAACCCUGAUGCAGCCAUGCCGCGUGUAUGAAGAAGGCCUUCGGGUUGUAAAGUACUUUCGGUGAUGAGGAAGGUGAUGUAUCUAACAGGUGCAUUAAUUGACGUUAAUCACAGAAGAAGCACCGGCUAACUCCGUGCCAGCAGCCGCGGUAAUACGGAGGGUGCGAGCGUUAAUCGGAAUGACUGGGCGUAAAGGGCAUGUAGGCGGAUAAUUAAGUUAGGUGUGAAAGCCCUGGGCUCAACCUAGGAAUUGCACUUAAAACUGGUUAACUAGAGUAUUGUAGAGGAAGGUAGAAUUCCACGUGUAGCGGUGAAAUGCGUAGAGAUGUGGAGGAAUACCGGUGGCGAAGGC
rnacentral:rRNA from 1 species